UCUACACCUCUUUGCUACAAACUCCGGGAAACAAAGGAAGCAGCGUGGGCGGUAGAGGGGCUUGUGGUCCGAUAUGUGUGAACUAUAGCCGAACGAAACAUUUAUAGUUAAAACAUGCAGUGGAAAGUAGCUGAAGUGUGGAUGGUGAUCUCCAUACCCACAUGAAUAUUCAACAGCCAGUGGUGGAUGAGCGAGGAUAGAGGUACGAGCCUUGUUCCUGUAACUGGCUGAGUGAGACACUUUGGUUCACAGUCUCACAUGGACUUUAUGAGAUAGGAAGAUGCUGUAAACAAAACUUUUGGCAACUGGGGUGGUAACAGUAGGUCUGGUGGAGGUAUCAUCCCACCCCUACUUUACCAGCUUCCUGACGGAGAACAGGUGAGUUG